rnacentral:rRNA from 1 species
AGAGAUGUGUGAUGACGCAUAUCAAUAAGCGGAGGAAAAGAAACUAACAAGGAUUCCCUUAGUAACGGCGAGUGAAGCGGGAAGAGCUCAAAUUUGAAAUCUUCAAGGUUCUACCUUGACGAAUUGUAGUUUAUAGAAGUGUUUUCUGUUAGUAGAGUGGCAAAAGUUCUUUGGAAUAGGACAUCAUAGAGGGUGAGAAUCCCGUAUUUGGUCAUUCCUUCCUAGCUUUGUGAUACACUUUCAACGAGUCGGAUUGUUUGGGAAUGCAGUCCAAAAUGGGUGGUAAAUUUCAUCUAAAGCUAAAUAUUGGCGAGAGACCGAUAGCGAACAAGUACCGUGAGGGAAAGAUGAAAAGAACUUUGAAAAGAGAGUUAAACAGUACGUGAAAUUGUCAAAAGGGAAGCGUUUGACACCAGUGUUGUUUUUCCGAAAAUCAAUUACGAAUGUUUUGUUUUUGAGGAAGUUAUGACUUCAUCGGCUUGCUCCUUUCUUUACGGAAACUUUCUUAAUGCACUUUUCGGUUAACAAGUCAACAUCAAUUUCUUUUGUUGUAAAAAGGGUACUGAGGAAGGUGGCUUUCUUUUCGGAGAAAGUGUUUAUAGCCUUGUACCUCUGCAAUCGGAGAGAUUGAGGUCUGCAGCGUAGAUCCUUCGGGGUUAGAUACAUUUGUGCUAAGUUAUAGCUUUUCAUAGACAACUUGUUGACUAUGUUAAGUCUUGUAGCUUACUCGCUUAUGCUAUUUUACCUACGCUUAGGAUGUUGAUCUGUAGUGCGUGCGC